AUUUUUGAAAAGUUGAUUGUUGUCCUUUUACGGAUAUUAGUAUACAAAACAGUGUAAACGAACGAAAAUUUAAUAUACCUUUGAACAAAAUAUACCUUCGGCGAACGAAUAACAAUUAGAACGACGAAUGUUGGAGAAACAGUUCUAAUUUGUAAAUGUUAUUCUAAAGAACGAAAUAUACCUUCGAACGAAUAUAAUUAGAACGACAAAUAUUAGAGAAACGGUUCUAACUUGUAAAUUGUAUUCUAAAGAACAAAAUAUACUUUCGAACGAAUGACAAUUAGAACGACGAAUGUUGGAGAAACGGUUCUAAUUUGCCAAUUUUAUUCUAAAGAACGAAAUAUACCUUCGAACGAAUAACAAUUAGAACGACGAAUGUCAGAGAAACGGUUCUAAUUUGCCAAUUUUAUCCUAAAGAACGAAAUAUACCUUCGAACGAAUAACAAUUAGAACGACGAAUGUUGGAG